rnacentral:rRNA from 1 species
GUGCCAGCAGCCGCGGUAAGACAGAGGGUGCAAACGUUGUUCGGAAUUACUGGGCGUAAAGCGCAUGUAGGCGGUCUAGCAGGUCGGAUGUGAAAGCCCUCGGCUCAACCGAGGAAGUGCAUUCGAAACCGCAAGACUCGAGUCCCGGAGAGGGUAGUGGAAUUCUCGGUGUAGAGGUGAAAUUCGUAGAUAUCGAGAGGAACACCGGUGGCGAAAGCGGCUACCUGGACGAGGACUGACGCUGAGAUGCGAAAGCGUGGGGAGCAAACAGGAUUAGAUACCCCUGUAGUCC